rnacentral:piRNA from 1 species
UAUGCUCGAAAAACAAAAGAG